ensembl:lncRNA
GUCGGUUCGGGCUUCGCUGUUUUCCCACUCGGGGCUUAAACACCUCAUCAGCACUUCAGGAGCAUCUUUAAUUAUUAGCGAUAUUUAUUAGCGAUAAUCCGCGGAGGAUUCGGCGCUAAUGGGCAGCGGGGUUUGCGGAGGUGUAAUUGCGCAGAGCUGUAAUUAGACAUGCAGCUGGGUAAUUGGGAUGGAGCUAAAUGUGUUCUCGCGUGCAUAUGUGUGUGUCCAUGUCCGGGUGCACACGGAUACACCCAAAGUUCUCCCCCCCCCCCCGAGCCCCCAUUAUAUGCACAGCACCGAUUAUUUUUUCCCCAUAUAUUUUACUCUUUUAUCCUUUUCACCCCCUAAAAAAAAAAAAAAAAAAGGAGAAAAAUCCCGAGGAAACCUCAUUAAAAUAAUGAGAAAAAAGAAUCGAAGUGGUUUUAAAGGGAAGAGAUAUUGGGGGGGGGGAUAAUAAAGGGAGAGCUGCAGAGCGAUGGUGAGAAGUGGGGGUCUCACCUCAGCCCCACAAAUGGGGGGAUCGGAUCUCCCAGCCCGGCUUUGGGGUGGGGCAGAGCCCAGAAGUGCCCCCCCCCACCUCACCCCCAUUAUUUCUAUGGGGCCGAGGGGCUGUCGGGGGGGCACUGGGAGGUGAACCCAAACACCUCCGCUGUCUGGAAUGCGUCUUCCAUGGAGGGGAGGGACGUUUUGUUGUAUUGGUUUGUUCCAAAUGUGGGUAAAUAAAAGUGGGGAGGGCCCUGCAAAGGUCAGGAGCAGAGAGAGACCCGGCUGCAGUGUGUGGCUUUGGGCACGUGGACGGGGGGGGGGAGAUGUAUGUGUGUGUGGGGGGACACAGAAGUGGGGUACCGCCUUGCUGGGGCAGCUGGAUGUGGGGUGCCAUCCUGUUGGGGUGCCCAGAUGUGGGGUGUUACUACGGGGGGAGUGCCCAGAUAUGAGGUGAUGCUUUGUUGGGGUGCCCAGAUGUGGGGUUCUACUAUGAGGGGGUGCCCAGAUAUGGGGUAAUGCAUUGUUGGGGUGCCCAGAUGUGGGGUGCUAUUAUAGGGGGGACGCCCAGAUGUGGGACGAUGCUUUGCUGGGGUGCCCAGAUGUGGGGUGGCGAUGAGGGAGAGCAUCCCAAUGGGGGCGCCAACGGAGGGCGGGGGUGUCCAGAUGUGGGGUGCUACCAUGGGAGGGGAUCCAGAUGUGCGGCGGUCCUUCCCUGGAGGUGUCCAACUGUGUGUGUGUGGGGGGGGGGACACAAUGGGAGGAGCCCAGGUUUGGGGUUCUGCCCUCAGAGGAUGCCCAGAUGUGACGCCCCGCCGUCCAGAUGUGUGCAGCACUGAAGAUGUCCAGCUGUGGGGCGCCAUCCAGCUGUGGGGCGCCAUCCAGAUGCGGCACCUUGGGGGACGCUGCCCGGAUGUGUGGGGUCACCCAGCUGUGCUCUCAGGCUGCGGGGUGCCACUUCCUCGGGGGUGACCCCCAGGGGACGCCACCAUGCGGGACUCCGGGGGUCACCCCUAUACAUCCGUGCCAGUUUAGGGGGCGCUGCCCCGACGUGGGGCAGCCCAUCCGUGCGGUGUGGCGGUGACACCGGGAUGGGGCACUCAGCCCCGCGCUCCCCAUUGUGACGGGGAUUCCUUCUCGUGGCGUCUGGCAGAGGAGAGCAGUAAAUCCCAGUGCUUUAUGGCUCCGGCAGCAGAUGUUUCAGAGCUCCCUGCCCUCCCCCAGGGCUCCCUCUCCAUCACCCCGUCCAGGCCUGCCCUUCAUUCCCCUCCUCUUCCUCAUCCUUCAUCCCCCAAUUUCCCACCCGUUCCCAUCAGAUGCCCUCAGAGCUCAGCUCCUCCCAGCCCGGCUACCGUCACCUACCCCAAAAUGGAAUGCAGUCCCUUAUGGCAGCAUCCCUUCUCUUGGUGGUGGUGGGGGCUGCGUGGGGUACCGCUGCAGAAUGUGGCACCCCCAGAGGUUUGGAGGGGGGGUGGGGGUGGGGGUGGGAGAAGCCCCUUCCCCAUCAGCAGUGCAGUGCCCUGAUGCCCUCUUUUCUCCUUAAUGCAUCCCACCCCCUCACUGCAGAAGGCUGCAGGCAAUUAGCUGGGAUGUAAUCCAUUGUUUCCUAUAAUAUCUCCCCCCCCCCCCCCCCCAAAACAAACCCAACCCGACCCGGAGCUGUGUGUUCUCUCCUUUGCGAAACCCCUGAAAACACCACAAGGAUAAAACACGGACGCGUCCCCCAAGCGGGAACAUUCUGCUUUUAUUUCCACCCUGCUUUCCAGCAGAAGGAUUUUUUGGGGCUGUGUGUGUGUGGGGGGGGGCUCACCUGGAUCCCCCCCCACCCCAUUUGGAAGCGAUGAGGGGUUUUGGGGAUGGGGGGGUGGUGAUGCUGCUGCUCUGACCCCGUCUCCAUGGCGAUGUGGAGCUGCAGGAUCCCACCCUGCGCACCCCCGGCCGCCCCUCGGCUCGUUAGCAGGGCCUGCAGCGCAUCCCAUAUUUAUCUUGAUUAGUCCAACCUGCUCACCUGGCACACCGAGCUGUGCGUGCAUCCCCCCCCCCCAACCCCCAUCCCCCCCCAGCACCGGGAUAUGGAUGAGAAGAUGCUCUUAAUUAAAGCUUUGGGGUUUCCUGAAGUCAAAGCCGAUGGGAUCUCGGCUGCGGUGUCCCCCGGAGGGCUCCAUCCUUAUGAAUGGUGCCCCCAAAUAACAGCCCCAUUACGGACACCCACGCACGUGUGUUUGCACACAGGUAGUCUCUGUGCACGGGUGUGUGAGCACACACGUGUGUGCACCCAGCAGGGCACCUCUGAGCACACCUGCGGUGCACUCUUGCACGCACAAGUCCUCUGCGUGCAACACCAGCGUGCACACGUGCUGUGUGUGUGCGAAUGCAUUGUCCACGUGCAGUGCAGACCUGCAUGCACACACGUGACCGGCGUGCAAACGUGUUUGUUACACGCGUGUGCACACGUGUGUUGCUGAGGGCUGCUGUGUGUUGGAUGGAAGUGGGGGGGGGGGGUCCUUCAGCCCCAUCAGAGUGCAGUGGUUAGGAGUGGACCCCCCCUCACAUACGCACUGGGUGGGGUUUGGGGGGGCCCCAUUUUGCCCCACAGGCUGCGGUGAGGCCCUCGGGGAGGGGCUGAGGUUGGUGCCCCCCCAGCAGUGCUGUGGGGGGGGUUCGGGGCUUUGUCUCCCUGCAUAUUUUGCCAAAGGGCACCCAGAGGUCAGGCAUUAUUGGAGAAAGGCCCCAGAUCACCAGCAACGCCCACCUGCCCAUGGAGGGGGGGUGGGGGGACCCCCCCAGAUAACACGGGGUGCUGCCCCAUAGCCGUGCCGGGUGGGUUUCCUGCCCAUCGCAUGGAGGUCUGGGGGGGAUUUGGGGCGACCUCCAAUGAGUAUUGGGGGCGCGUGGGGCUGUGGGGAGGGAUGGGGUUUGCAUGGGGUUGGAGGGGGGGUCUGCGCUUUGUGGGGGGGCUCACACCCUGACGGGGAGGGUCUGCACUGGGUGUGCCCCCUGGGGGCGGUCUGCAUUGCACACGCACAGCGCGUGUGUGUGUGUGUCACGUGUGCACAGCGUGUGCUGCACGUGCUGUGUGUGCAAGCAUGCGUCCGGCGCGCGUGCAUGGGUUGCACUGCAAGCGGGAGUUGUGCAAGCGUGUGUUGCACGCGCAUCGUGUGUGUUAUGGGCACCAGCGUGGGUCACGUGUGCCUGCGUGUGAUCUGAGUGUGCACGUGUUGCACGUGUGAGCAGCAGUGGUGGUAGUGGUGAUGAUAGUGAUAAGAGCAGUGGUUGUAGCAGCGGCAUUAGGAGCAUCGGGAGUAAUAAUGGGAACGGUGGUAACGGUGUUAAUUGUGGUAUUAAUGAGAGGAAUGGCAGUAAUAGGAAUAAUGGGAAUAAUAAUAAUGGGAAUGAUAGGAAUAACGGGAAUAACAGAUAGGAAUAGAAUAGAUGGGGAUAAUAGCAAUAUUAGGGGUAGCAAUAAUAGGAAUGAUAGGAAUGAUAGGGAUAGGAAUAAUAGGAAUGAUAGGAAUGAUAGCAAUAAUAGAAUUAAUUGCAAUCAUAGCAAUAAUGGCAAUAAUGGCAAUAAUAGGAAUGAUAGGAAUAAUAGGAAUGAUAGGACCAGGAAUAAUAGGAAUAAUAGGGUUGAUAGGAAUAGGAAUAAUAGGAAUAGUAGGGUUGAUAGGAAUGAUAGGAUUAAUAGGAAUAAUAUCAAUAGAAGGAAUAAUAGCAAAUAUAGGAAUAGGAAUAAUGGGAAUGAUGGGAUCAAUGGGAUUAAUAGCAAUAAUAAUCCUAAAAAAAUUACGGCAAUAGGACGGGAGGAGGGCGCUAAAAAGGACCUCCCCCCCCACCCCCCCCUCCCCCCCAACCCGCGCAGUUCCCGGACGGGCGGCGCUGGGAUUCGAACCGGGAUCGUUGCGCGGAUGACGCGGAGCCCCGGGGCCGGGAUGGGGAUGGGGGGGGAUUUGGGGAGGGGGGUUUUGGGGGGGGGUCCGGAGAGCGGCAGAGGCCGGGGGGGGCCGGAAGGCGCUUCGGGCAGCCGCUCAUUGCGCGGUGAGUUAUUGCGGAGCGGAGCCGGAGGUGAUUUAGGAUGGAGAGGGGCGGCCAUAAAAGCAGCCCAACGAGCGCGGCUUUUCCUACGGAGGCGAUCGUUAUCGGCUUAUUAAUUAGCGAUAAUGAUGAAUUACGGAGCGCCAUCCGCGGGACGGGGCUCCGCUCGGACCUCAGAGCGGCUCCGACCCCCCCCAACCCCCCCCACCAUUAAAAAAAAUCGCCCUCUUUUGCCCAAUUUCCCACUUUCCCCCCCAAAAUAACGACGCAAAACCCUCGCAAAGGGCGCUGCGUUCGGACGGGGGCGCGGAGGUUGCGCGCAUCGCCGAUGGGGGUGGGGGGGGUGGGGGUGGGGGGGUCGCGGGAGGCGCCGCUUUUGGGGGCUUUUGGAGCCCAUUUCGGUCAACGGCGGAGAGCGGAGAGCGCCCGAAACGCACCGCGCGGCUCCGCCCGCACAGCGCGCAGAGACGGAGCUCAAUUUGGGUGAGUUUGGGUUUUUUUUUUUUUUAAUUACUUUUUUUUUUUCCCCGAUUUUUUCCCCCUCGAUUUUAUUUUUUCCCGUUUUUUCCGAUUUUUGGUUUUUACGCCAUUUUUUAAAAAUACGGCUUUAAUUUCCUUUUCUUUUUUUUUUUCCUUUUUUACUGUUUUCUAUUUCUUUCUUUUUUUUCCUCCCCGUCUUUUUUUAACAUUUUCUGUUUUUCUUUUCUCCUUUUUUCACUUUUCUCCAUAAAUUUUAAUAUUUUCCAUUUCCUUUUUUUCGCUUUUUAAAUAUUUUCCAUUUUCCUUUUGAAUAUAUCCCGUGUUUUCCCCUUUUCCUUUUUUCCUCCUUUCCCUUUUUUAACCUUUUCCACCACAAACCUCUCCCUAUUUUUCACACUUAUUAUUUUUAUCUGUAUUUUUAAUAUCCCUGCCUUUAAAAAUCAUUUCUGUUAUUAAUUACUAUUAUUUAGUAUUUCCUAUUUGAAAUCCAUUUCUGCCUUUUCUCUUUGAUUACCUCCAUUUAUUUUCGCUCUGUUCGAACGUUUUCGGGUUUUAUUUUCAGCGCUUUCAAUUCCCGUUCAUUUCUUUCUUUUUACUUUUCUCUUUUUGAGGUGCUUUAAUUUUUUUCCCGAUCUUUCCUUUAUUUUUGUGUUCUUUAUCCUCCUUUAAUUUUAAUUUCUAUUUAUUCAUUUUAUUUAUCCUUUAUUCCCAUUUAUCCCUUAUUUUCCCUUCCUUUUCAGUCGCAUUUAUUCCCACUCCUAUCCUUCAUUACUUCCCAUCUCAUUUCUUUUUCCCUUCACUUUUCACCGUUUCUUUUUUUUCUGCUCAUUUCUCGUUGGGUUCCUUUUUAUUUCCUUUUAUUCAUCACUUUUAUUAAUAUCAACAUUUUUUCUUUGCUUUCAUUUCUUAUUCGUCAUUAAUUUCAUUUUUUUUUUGGCUUUUUCACUUUUAUUAUUUAUUAUUAUUUUAUUAUUUUAUUUUUCUUUAUUCACAUUUUUCCUUUACUUUUCGCUUCUGUUAUUCGCUUACUUUUAUUUCUGUUUUAUUUUUAUAUUUCUGUAUUUAUUUCUGUUUUAUUUUUAUAUUUCUGUAUUUAUUUCUGUUUUAUUUAAUUUUUUUAUUUUUAUUUCAUUUCAUUUUUAUUAUUUUAUUUUUAUUUUAUUUUAUUCUUAUUUUUAUUUUCAUUUCAUUUAAUUACUUUUAAUUUUUAUUUCAUUUUAUUUUAUCUCUUAUUUCUAUUUUUAAUUUUAAUUUUAAUUUUAAUUUAAUUUCGUUUUUAAUUUUAAUUAAGUUUAAUUCUAGUUUUAAUUUAAUUUAAUUUUUUAUUUUAUUAUAGUAUUUCAUUUCAUUUUAUUUUUAUACUAUUUUAUUAUUAAUAAUAAUAUUUUUUAUUUUCAUUUUCUUAUCCCCGAUUUUUUUACUCUGAACGUUUUUACCCUCUUAACCCCUCAUUUUUGCCCUUUCCUUUUCCCUUCCCCCCGUUUCACACCCACUCUCACCCCUCUCUCCCUAUAAUUACGCGCACACCCACCACUUAUUUUCCUCGGCGCCUUUCGGAUUUUAUACCCAUUAAGAAUAAUAAUAAAAAAAUACAAAAAAUAAACAAAUAAUGACCCCCAAAUUACCCCGAAAGAACGCGAGAGCUGCGCUCACUCACACUCACACUCACACACUCACACUCACACUCACACUCACGCACGUGCGCUCCCAAAGGUCCAUUUCCUACCGACCCCCUCCCCGCACAGCGGAUCUCCGGCUGCUUUGAGCCCCCCCGCACCCCAAUCCCCCCCCCCGCUUCGAUUUCCCCGCACCGAACGCCCCGAAGUGACCCCAAAUCCGCGCAGCGUUUCCGCCCUGCGCUCCGCCCCCAGCGCGCCCCCCCCGGGGAUCGCAAUGAUUCCAAUUACCAAAAUCGCCCCAAAUCUUGAAGAUUUGCACCCAAAAUUCCGCCGUCUUCGCCCCCAGAGCUGCGCUGCGGUUCCGCGCAGGAAGAAAACGCGCAAAUCCCCCAUUAUGGGUCCUUAUGGCCGCGGUCCGAGCGCCGCUUUCCUUUUUCCUUUCCUUUUUCCUCCCCUCUCGUUGCUGUUGUUGUGGUUUUAAAGCCGGAAUCCCUUCCGGGGGCACCGGGAUGGGAGGGGGGAGAGUUGGGGGGGGAGCGGAAAGGCGGCGCUGCGCCGCUCCCUCUGCGCUUAUCUCUGCGUCAAUUGGCAUUUCAAAAGGAUGGCAUUAAAAAGCGCGGCCGCUCCGCGCAAUUUCCAUUCCGACCACCCCCCCGGACCCCCUCAGACCCCCCCCGAACACUCCUCCCCCCCUCGCUCUGUUCGCUGCUCAAAUUGGGAUUUUCAAAAGGAUAUCGUUAAAAAUUGCGCUCUCUCCGACCCCCCCGGGGCUGCGGCCACAUGGAUGGGGGGGAGGGGGGGGGAAAUCCCUUCCUCUCCCCCAACCCGCAGCCUCAGCUCCCUCCUCAUCCUCACCCUCAAUGCAAAACACCUCCUGCAACC